AUUAAACGCUGGCGGCAUGCCUUACACAUGCAAGUCGAACGGUAGCGCGGGGCAACCUGGCGACGAGUGGCGAACGGGUGAGUAAAGCAUCGGAACGUGCCCUGGAAUGGGGGAUAACGUAGCGAAAGUUACGCUAAUACCGCAUAUUCUGUGAGCAGGAAAGCAGGGAAUCGCAAGACCUUGCGUUCUGGGAGCGGCCGAUGUCGGAUUAGCUAGUUGGUGGGGUAAAAGCCUACCAAGGCGACGAUCCGUAGCGGGUCUGAGAGGAUGAUCCGCCACACUGGGACUGAGACACGGCCCAGACUCCUACGGGAGGCAGCAGUGGGGGAAUUUUGGACAAUGGGCGGAAGCCUGAUCCAGCCAUGCCGCGUGAGUGAAGAAGGCCUUCGGGUUGUAAA
rnacentral:rRNA from 1 species